GAUGAACGCUAGCGAUAGGCUUAACACAUGCAAGUCGAGGGGUAACGUGUUGGAAGCUUGCUUCCGAUGAAGACGACCGGCGGAUGGGUGCGUAACGCGUAUGCAACUUGCCUCACAGUGGAGAAUAACCCGGAGAAAUCCGGACUAAUACUCCAUACACUCUUAAGUACGCCUGUACAUGAGAGGAAAGAUUUAUCGCUGUGAGAUAGGCAUGCGUCCUAUUAGGUAGUUGGUGAGGUAACGGCUCACCAAGCCGACGAUAGGUAGGGGUGCUGAGAGGGUGAUCCCCCUCAUUGGGACUGCGACACGGCCCAAACUCCUACGGGAGGCAGCAGUGAGGAAUAUUGGUCAAUGGAGGAAACUCUGAACCAGCCAAGUCGCGUGAAGGAAGAAUGUCCUAAGGAUUGUAAACUUCUUUAGCGAGCGAGUAAGGACUUCCACGUGAUGGGGGUUUGAAAGGAGCUCGGUAAUAAGUAUCGGCUAACUCCGUG
rnacentral:rRNA from 1 species